UUGAACGCUGGCGGCAGGCCUAACCCCUGCCAGUCGAACGGUAACAGGAAGCAGCUUGCUGCUUCGCUGACGAGUGGCGGACGGGUGAGUAAUGUCGGGGAAGCUGCCUGAUGGAGGGGGAUAACUACUGGAAACGGUAGCUAAUACCGCAUAAUGUCGCAAGACCAAAGAGGGGGACCUUCGGGCCUCUUGCCAUCGGAUGUGCCCAGAUGGGAUUAGCUUGUUGGUGGGGUAACGGCUCACCAAGGCGACGAUCCCUAGCUGGUCUGAGAGGAUGACCAGCCACACUGGGACUGAGACACGGUCCAGACUCCUACGGGAGGCAGCAGUGGGGAAUAUUGCACAAUGGGCGCAAGCCUGAUGCAGCCAUGCCGCGUGUAUGAAGAAGGCCUUCGGGUUGUAAAGUACUUUCAGCGGGGAGGAAGGGAGUAAAGUUAAUACCUUUGCUCAUUGACGUUACCCGCAGAAGAAGCACCGGCUAACUCCGUG
rnacentral:rRNA from 1 species